rnacentral:rRNA from 1 species
AUUGAACGCUGGCGGCAGGCCUAACACAUGCAAGUCGAGCGAGCGGCGGACGGGUGAGUAAUGUAUGGGGACUUCCCUAUAGAGGUGGAUAACCACCGGAAACCGUAGCUAAUUCCGCAUACUACCGGAUAACUCAUAUGGGAUUAGCUCGAAGGUGAGGUAAUGGCUCACCUAGGCGACGAUCCCUAGCUGGUCUGAGAGGAUGAUCAGCCACACUGGGACUGAGACACGGCCCAGACUCCUACGGAGGCAGCAGUGGGGAAUAUUGCACAAUGGGCGCAAGCCUGAUGCAGCCAUGCCGCGUGUAUGAAGAAGGCCCUAGGGUUGUAAAGUACUUUCAGUCGGGAGGCGUUACCGACAGAAGAAGCACCGGCUAACUCCGUGCCAGCAGCCGCGGUAAUAC